rnacentral:rRNA from 1 species
AUUGAACGCUGGCGGCAGGCUUAACACAUGCAAGUCGAGCGGAGUGAUGGUGCUUGCACUAUCACUUAGCGGCGGACGGGUGAGUAAUGCUUAGGAAUCUGCCUAUUAGUGGGGGACAACAUCUCGAAAGGGAUGCUAAUACCGCAUACGUCCUACGGGAGAAAGCAGGGGAUCACUUGUGACCUUGCGCUAAUAGAUGAGCCUAAGUCGGAUUAGCUAGUUGGUGGGGUAAAGGCCUACCAAGGCGACGAUCUGUAGCGGGUCUGAGAGGAUGAUCCGCCACACUGGGACUGAGACACGGCCCAGGCUCCUACGGGAGGCAGCAGUGGGGAAGAUUGGACAAUGGGGGGAACCCUGAUCCAGCCAUGCCGCGUGUGUGAAGAAGGCCUUAUGGUUGUAAAGCACUUUAAGCGAGGAGGAGGCUACUCUAGUUAAUACCUAGGGAUAGUGGACGUUACCCGCAGAAGAAGCACCGGCUAACUCCGUGCCAGCCGCCGCGGUAA